rnacentral:lncRNA from 1 species
GAGAUUUGGCGGAGGCGGGCGUCGUCGUGCGGUGGAUCUGAUGGAAGUAACCGCGGGAAUGGCGCUAGAAGCGAGGUUGCUCAGGUGAGAAGACAAGCGGCUGUGGCUGCGCGGGCGAGCGCGAAGCAACAGACUGUCGGGGCGCUGUUCUGACAAGGCGGGAAAGGGAGCUGUCAUGGCCGUGGUCUGGGUUGGCGAUGGAGGAAUCGUCGCGUAGCGCAGUCCGAGCAGCACGACUAUGGAGG